AGGAUAAACGCUGGCGGCGUGCCUAACACAUGCAAGUCGAACGUCCUUGCGGUCUUCUUCUUCGGAGGAGGACCGCGAGGGAGUGGCGGACGGGUGAGUAACACAUGGGUACCUGCCUUUCAGUGAGGAAUACCGGCGAGAAAUCGCCGACAAGACCGCAUAGGCUUCCUUCGGUAGCCCGAGGGAAGCAAAGUUACUUCGCGAGAGGUGACGCUGGAAGAGGGGCCUGUGGCCGAUUAGCUAGUUGGGGGGGUAACGGCCUCCCAAGGCGACGAUCGGUAGCUGGUCUGAGAGGACGAUCAGCCACACUGGGAUUGAGAACGGCCCAGACUCCUACGGGGGGCAGCAGUGAGGAAUUUUCCGCAAUGGACGAAAGUCUGACGGAGCAACGCCGCGUGCAGGAGGAAGGUUUUCGGAUCGUAAACUGCUUUUCUCGGGGACGAGCAAGGACGGUACCCGAGGAAGAAGCCCCGGCUAACUACGUGCCAGCAGCCGCGGUAA
rnacentral:rRNA from 1 species